UUCACGCCACUUAUGGUUACGCCUCUUAAGUCGUUAAAGUGUUUUAUCAACGAGACCAUUUGUUCAAUGUACGUGGGCAAAGGUAAAAUUAUUUCAAAAUCGAUAAAAUAUCACAAUACCUACGAUGAUAAUCGGGGUUCGAAACUUGUAGCAUUUGCUUAUUUGUUUAACAUGAAAUUGAAUCCAGCGAAGUGCUAUGGAAAUGUACGCCAUGUUACGAGUUCAAGUAUAUACAAUUUAAAACUGCAUCUUUGUUUUGCUUAUUUC